GACGAACGCUGGCGGCGUGCUUAACACAUGCAAGUCGAACGGAAAGGCCCUGCUUUUGUGGGGUGCUCGAGUGGCGAACGGGUGAGUAACACGUGAGUAACCUGCUCUUGACUUUGGGAUAACUUCAGGAAACUGGGGCUAAUACCGGAUAGGAGCUCCCGCUGCAUGGUGGGGGUUGGAAAGUUUCGGCGGUCGGGGAUGGACUGGCGGCUUAUCAGCUUGUUGGUGGGGUAGUGGCUUACCAAGGCUUUGACGGGUAGCCGGCCGGAGAGGGGGAUAGGCCACCUGGGAAGGGAGACAGCGACAAUAGGACUAAGGGACGGACCAGUGUCCUACGGGGGGCAGUAGUGGGAAGUAUUGCACAGUGAGCGCGAGCGUGAUGCGGCAGCGCCGCGUGCGGGAUGACGGCCUUUGGGUAGUGAACCGCUUUCGGUUGUGACGAAGCGUGAGUGACGGUAAUGAGUAAAGAAGCACCGGCUAACUACGUG
rnacentral:rRNA from 1 species